AUUUCAUAUGAUUACAACUAUAAGUAUCUAUCGCACACAUAGUGUUGUUAUAGUACAUAAUAGAGUGUCAUCAAAGCCGUCUCACCUCAAAGAUUGAUUUCUGCGCGGUGUGACGAUUUAUGACUAAAAUCCUAAUCUAAUGUCAGUUUACGCCUAUUUUUAAAUAAAUGGGGGGAAGAGUGAAAAAUUCAAAAUUCGCACAUAUAUGUGAUGAAUCUUGUGAGUCUAUUCUCUCUGGCGCUAACUUUACAUACAUAUAUAUAUAUAUAUAUAUAUAAUGUCUCGUUAGUUGCUCCUGAUUUAUCCGCAUGUGAAUAACGAUUUUGAGAUAAAAUCAUUCUUUCAAAUGUACUACUGAAGUAAAAAAGUAAAAAAAAAAAAAAGAC
rnacentral:rRNA from 1 species